GCACGGUGAUGGACUGAUGACAGCCCUUCUCUGUGGGCCUUUCAUAGUGUGCCAGUGCCAGAGAUGCAUGCAAACCAUUGCCCAGCCUUCUCACCAGUGCUGUGAGCACUGAAGGGAGCUGUACAGUG
rnacentral:snoRNA from 1 species